rnacentral:rRNA from 1 species
GUAGGGAAUAUUGGGCAAUGGAUGCAAGUCUGACCCAGCCAUCCCGCGUGCCGGAAGAAGGCCCUCAGGGUUGUAAACGGCUUUUGACGGUGAAGAAUCGACAGGAUGCGUCCUGUUUUGACGGUAGCCGUUGAAUAAGCACCGGCUAACUCCGUGCCAGCAGCCGCGGUAAUACGGAGGGUGCGAGCGUUGUCCGGAUUUAUUGGGUUUAAAGGGUGCGUAGGCUGGAGGGACAGUCAGCGGUGAAAAGCAGUUGCUCAACAAUUGUCUUGCCGAAGAUACUACCUUGCUUGGAUUGGGAGGAGGUUACCGGAACGGAUGGUGUAGCGGUGAAAUGCAUAGAUAUCAUCCAGAACGCCAAUUGCGAAGGCAGGUAACUGUACCUAUAUCGACGCUGAUGCACGAAAGCAUGGGUAGCGAACAGGAUUAGAAACCCCGGGUAGUCC